rnacentral:rRNA from 1 species
UACGUAGGUGGCAAGCGUUAUCCGGAUUUACUGGGUGUAAAGGGCGUGUAGGCGGGGACGCAAGUCAGAUGUGAAAACCACGGGCUCAACCCGUGGCCUGCAUUUGAAACUGUGUUUCUUGAGUACUGGAGAGGCAGACGGAAUUCCUAGUGUAGCGGUGAAAUGCGUAGAUAUUAGGAGGAACACCAGUGGCGAAGGCGGUCUGCUGGACAGCAACUGACGCUGAGGCGCGAAAGCGUGGGGAGCAAACAGG